CUUAAUUGUUAAUAUUAACAUUGUAUACAGCAUAGCCCAACUAUAAUAGGAUCCAUACUAGAUAAUCCUAGAUAGUGUUAGAUACUGGAAAGUGUCACUAUGGCCGUGACCAGGAGAGGGCACU